rnacentral:rRNA from 1 species
GCGCGUACACACUUACCGUCACUCUCCCCGAGCCACAACUUAGACAGUACAUAAAAAAUUAUUCUCGGUAAAGGGGAGGCAAGUCGUAACAUGGUAAGUGUAC